rnacentral:rRNA from 1 species
ACUCAAAGGAAUUGACGGGAGCCCGCAUAAGCAGUGGAGUAUGUGGUUUAAUUCGACGCAACGCGAAGAACCUUACCGAAACUUGACAUCCCGAGGAGACCGAUGUAAUGUUGGUUGUGCCUUUCGGGGAACUCGGAGACAGGUGGUGCAUGGUUGUCGUCAGCUCGUGUCGUGAGAUGUUGGGUUAAGUCCCGCAACGAGCGCAACCCCUACGGUUAGUUGCUACGCAAGAGCACUCUAGCCGGACUGCCGUUGACAAAACGGAGGAAGGUGGGGAUGACGUCAAAUCAUCAUGCCCCUUACGUUUCGGGCUACACACGUACUACAAUGGCGCAAACAAAGGGAAGCAAUACCGCGAGGUGGAGCAAAACCCAAAAAAGGCGCCCCAGUUCGGACUGCAGGCUGCAACUCGCCUGCACGAAGUUGGAAUUGCUAGUAAUCGCGGAUCAGCAUGCCGCGGUGAAUACAUUCCCGGGCUUUGUACACACCGCCCGU